CGGGAACAAUUCCCGUUAAAAGAUGGACACAAUAUAGUAAAGGUAAAGGUAAAGGUAAAGGUUUCCCCUGACAUUAAGCCUGGCCGUGUCCGACCUUUUAAACUGCAGUCACCCUGUGAAUUACAUUCACAGAUUAUCUGUUCCUAACCAGGAGACAGACUACCUUAAAAUAAGUCACCAAACUUAUUUUAAACUGGCCCAGAAAUAAGCAAUUGAGCCUCCCUGAUUCCUUCAACUGAGAAUCAGUCUUCCCUAUACCUCAUCAGGGCACAGACUAACGAAAAUAAGUCACCAAACUUAUUUUAAACUGACUCAAUUAAGAAAUUGACUUGAACUUCAUUCAUUGAAAGUUCAUUGAACUUCACUGAAAGUGCUUCAUUCGGAUAUUGUUGAAUGCCUGUCUGAAUGAAAUGUGUUAUGAUCAGCCAAUCAGACAAAACAAGUAGAACCGGACAAACAACAUCAAUAACAAGAUCAUACAAAAAACCAAUACAAAUGUUUGUCAAGCUGACCACUCACUCUUGACCUUGUCCUCCUCCCUUCUCCUGGACCAACGGCCACCUAACAGAUUAGGUGUCCCCUAACCAUGAAGAAGUCUACAAUUCCGGUUCUUGAGUGACUUAGGCUGAGAAGGGUCAGUCCCCAAGACGUCUUGUGAGCGGGUCUGGGGUGGCCGAAGGGUUUUCCCGGCCCUUAACCGGCUUUCCCUCCCUCCCUCCCUCCCUCCGCUUCCCUCCGGGCAGAUGGCCGGGAAGUGGUACCCGGUGAGGAGCGCCACGUCGGAGGACCAACCGAGAGCCCUCCACGGCUUCGCCCUGGAGCCCACGGCCAGCGGAGGCUUCGCCAUGAAGCUCGAGAUCCCCCAGAAGGGGUCCUGCAGUGUGAAAAACCUUGAUUUGACCCAGGUCAGCCCCGGGGUCUUCACCUCACCAGAGGGAAAGGCGACCGUCAUGGACACCGACUACACAACCUAUAUGUUCGUAGAACUUUCCAAGGACACCACGCGCAUCCUGGUUUACUAUGCCAGAGAAAAGAAAGUGGAUAAGAAAAUCAAGAAGAAGUUUCGGAGCAUUGUCAAAAAGGCGGGGAUGAAAACCGCAAAACGUUUAAUACCCCGAAAAGAAGAUAUGUGCUAAAACCCCUCCUGCGAAAGCAUAGGUAAAAUUAAUAUAUAUUAUUAUGUUUAUAUAUAGACUAGCUGUGCCCGGCCACGCGUUGCUGUGGCGAACGAAGUCUGGUGGUCUGGGAAAUAAAGUAUUGAGGAAUUGGUGGUAGUUAAGGUCAAGGGUAAAGGUUUUCCCCUGACAUUAAGUCCAUUAUAAAUGGGUUAUAUAGCUGUGUGGAAGGGCCUUGAGUCUACACUGCUUAGCCUUCUAACUGGCAGCAAUUGGAUAAAAACAAUUAUUCAGUCCAGUCGUGUCUGACUGGGGGUUGGUGCUCAUCUUGAGUCUACGCUGCCAUAUAAUCCAGUUGAAAUCAGAUAAUCUGUAUUUUAUAGGCAGUGUGGAAGAGGCCUAAGUGAGGCCUAACUCUGCCUGUCCCCUGGGCUCAGUGGGUUGCUAGGAGACCAAGUGGGCGGAGCUUAGCCUUCUAACUGGCAGCAAUUGGAUAAAAACAAUUAUUAAGUCUAGUCGUGUCUGACUGGGGGCUGGUGCUCAUCUUGAGUCUACGCUGCCAUAUAAUCCAGUUGAAAUCAAAUAAUCUGUAUUUUAUAGGCAGUGUGAAAGAGACCUGAUUGAAGUGGCCCUGGGCUGAGUGGGUUGCUAGGAGACCAAGUGGGUGGAGCUUAGCCUUCUAACUGGCAGCAGACCAAGUGGGCGGAGCUUAGCCUUCUAACUGGCAGCAAUUGGCUAAGAACAAUUAUUCCUCCCCCUCUAAUUAGGAGUUUAUUUUUCAUUUCUUUUUGUUGUAUGAAUGUAGAGGCAUGGAUGAGGGGUUGUGCUGCCAAGUUUAGUGUUUCUGGGAUGUGUAGUUUUGUUGUUUUCUCCUAGGCCGAAAUUUCAUUACUCUUUUAUAUAUAUAGAUUUAAUCCUGUUGAGUGGUUUUAGCUUCCGCAAGAACUUUGGGUUCAGGAGCCCGGUGUGUCGAACAGAAUGAGACGCAGACAGGUUGAAGGCAAAGAGCGGAGGUUCGUUCUCACCGGCCCGAAUAGGAUGUCUGUGCAGAAAGCACUCCGAAGUAGUAAUAUAACACAAUUGAGAAUAAAACGAGUGUUUUAAAAUUUUCAUUUGACAGUUAUUCAAGAAACCCAUGCCAGCUCCGGAUUGAUCCAACUAUGAUCCGGCUAGGAUCCGAGCAUUCAUUGGCUGAGGAUUCUGUGGAGUGUCGUUGCCAGUUGGCUCUUUCUUGGUGGCGGGAAAUCCAAUAAAGUCAAUUCAAAAUGUCAGUCCAUUCAAUGUUCUGCCUCUAAGAGAAUUGCGGUGUGGCAAAAGUCAACGAGUCCCCGGUUAUCUUAAUGGGCUGAUUCUGGUGGUUAAAGUACACAGUGUUUGGUGAAUGGGCUUAAUAACACCAUAAAAGUAUACAGCAGAGCAGCUUAUUUAGCAGCAGCAGCAGCGUGACCCAGAACCAGAUGAAAUAAAAACACACAGACUAUUGUUAUGUUCCUUUGGAGGCUUUUCUUGUUGAAAAAUAAUAUGGUUACAAAAAUAAGGUUUCCAUAACAUAAAAUUCUUUACACUUCCUCGUUAUAUUUUUGCUUCAGCUUCUUGCCUUCACGCUGGGCUUCUCUCUCAUACAAACUUCAAACUGGAGCAGCUCUCUCCUUGAAGGAGUCAAACACAGCACUCUUUACACCGAGUCAUUCUUCACACAGAAGGAAGUCUUCACACAGGAGGAGCAACUCACUCACAAGCACACCUGCCUAGAUUAUCCUACUUGCUUAUUCAUUGCAUCAUUUUAACUCUUUCGGUGCCUGUUCAUCACUUUUUGCAAUUAAAAAUACAUUGUUGAUUUUCAAUAUUUCUGGCACACAACGAGUGCUGAGAGGUGGUGACUAUUUCGACGAGUGAGGCUGGCUUGAGGCAUAGGUGACUGAUUGUAAGGAAGAUAAUAACGACUGCCACCAAUUUGUGAAGAGCUAAUAACGCCUGCCACCAAUUUGUAAAGAUGCAACCACCAAAGACUCAGGGAGGAGACCUUCUACUUUAUUUCUUUCUUCUUCUUAUUCACUUUAGAUGGUAGCGUAAUUUGGUUUAUAAUAUAUGUGACAGAGGCUUAGAUGUUGGAAGAACAAUAACAAGUUUAUUCAGGCGCCGAGCUUAGUGGUUGCAAUGUUGUUUCUCACUUAGAGGUAUUUUUAUUAACAGUUACAAUACUAGAAUGAGAUGAGUCAAACUCUCUAAAGUAGCUUUCUCUGCUACUUUUAAACCGCAGUCACCCCUGUGAUACACGAUCACAGAUUCUCUGUUCCUUACCAGGACACAGACUACAUUAAAUAAGUCACCAAACUUAUUUUAAACCGACUCAAAAUGAACAAUUGAGUCUCCUUGAUUCCCUCAAGCUAGGAUCAGUCUUCCCUGUGCCUCAUCAGAGCACAGACUGAAUCUCUUUUUUAAACUCUGCACUUCUUCAACUAACGGCAGUUGGCUCCGCCUACUUUUCCAUGGCAACCAGCCUCUGAGUGCUGAGAUGCAAUAACUGUAAUACUUACCCUUUUAAAACACAAACACACAAUUAAACAUAACAUCUGUAAACCUAAAAUUCGUACUUCAUUACACUGAUCUUCUCGCAGAGAGUGCCAGUCUUAUCAAUGAGAACAGGAAAUGGACUUGACAUGAAUUCUCCCAGUUCAUUGUGAGGGGACUAUGGAAAUUAGAGUUUGGGUGUUACCAGACAGCAUUCUGGUGACAAUUGCCAUUAACUAUUUGCCACACGGGUGACGAGAGGAGAGAAAACACAUACAACACUCCUGCUGGGUAGGCACAUGAAUCAAUCCUCUCACGGCUUCCUCCUUCAGCUGCACAAUGCGACGGACUGUCUCCAAGGCAGGCAGCUAUGUUCAGAUCCAAAAACACAAUGCAGAGUCUUGGUCACCAUCAGCAGAGAGACCCGGUCCAACCGCCAGGCGAGGGAAACAUUUGCCUGUGGCACCAUCAUCCGGUGGGCGCUUUCAAGGCCCCGGGAAGAGCAGAGAUAAUAAUAAUAAUAAUAAUAAUAAUAAUAAUAAUAAUAGCUUUAUUUUUGUACCCCACUUCCAUCUCCCCAAGGGAACUUGGAGUGGCUAACAUGGGGAUGAGCCCAGUCAACAUCGUAAAAUAUAAUCACAUUAAAAUACAUGCUGCUGCUGCUCAAUCGCAUAAGCAGAGUAUAACUUAUAAGCAGAGUAUAACUGUAACAUCUGCCCUUUUUCUGCACGCUGUUUAGAAAAACUCACUGGCUCAGUUUUCACCCAAAAUACGAGGGUUGAAUGAAAAGUAAUGCCUCCGCCUUCGUUACUUGGGUUUGGAUGGGAAGUUUGGGAAGUGUCCCUUAACUUUCUCUGAGUGCAUCUACACAGCCAUGAUGAUGAUAAUGAUGGCAUUGACACAGUGGAAAUAAUGGGGUCUGCCACCCCUUUCACCACCAUGACUCCCUGCUAUGGAACCCCGGGAGUU
rnacentral:lncRNA from 1 species